rnacentral:rRNA from 1 species
UACGUAGGGGGGCAAGCGUUGUCCGGAUUUAUUGGGCGUAAAGAGCUCGUAGGCGGCUCGGUAAGUCGGAUGUGAAACCUCCAGGCUCAACCUGGAGACGCCAUCUGAUACUGCCGUGGCUUGAGUCCGGUAGAGGAGCAGGGAAUUCCUGGUGUAGCGGUGAAAUGCGCAGAUAUCAGGAGGAACACCAGCGGCGAAGGCGGGUCUCUGGGCCGUAACUGACGCUGAGGAGCGAAAGCAUGGGGAGCGAACAGG